GAUGAACGCUAGCGGCAGGCUUAACACAUGCAAGUCGAGGGGCAGCGAGAUCAGUGCUUGCACUGAUUGUCGGCGACCGGCGCACGGGUGCGUAACGCGUAUGCAACCUACCCAUUACAGGGGGAUAACACUGAGAAAUCGGUACUAAUACCCCAUAACAUCCAGGGAGGCAUCUUCUUGGGUUGAAAACUCCGGUGGUAAUGGAUGGGCAUGCGUUGUAUUAGUUAGUUGGUGGGGUAACGGCUCACCAAGACAACGAUACAUAGGGGGACUGAGAGGUUAACCCCCCACAUUGGGACUGAGACACGGCCCAG
rnacentral:rRNA from 1 species